CUAAUAUACUCAUAACGAAUCCGCGCGAUUAUCACAGGACCGCGUUAUUAUUAAUAGUCGCUACGGUGAUGUGGUUUCGCUCAGCUACGAACACGGCGCAGGCAUUAUUAUAGGCAUGUUCGCCCCGAGUCGAAAUUGUAUGUAAACAUACACGCGUACACGCGUUGCUUAGAAUAACUUUGGUUUUUUUUUUUUUUUGUGUCGGCCGUCAGUUAACGAAUCAGAAACAUCAGACGACAUUAGGUCGA